AUACUUACCUGAUAGGAGAGAUACUGUGAUCAUUAAGACAGUAUUCUCAGGGUGAGGCCGACCCAUUGCACUUCAUGGGGAAAGGUUGACCCUUGCGAUUUUCCCAAAUGUGGGAAACUCGACUGUACAAUUUCAGGAGUGC
rnacentral:snRNA from 1 species